AGUAGUGUCAUGAUACGUACAACACACCAGAAAAUGAACAAUCAGUGCCUCAUAUUAAGGUCAUUUCAUUGCUGUUGCUCAUAGUAUAUCUAACCCCAUCACAGGCACAACAAAACUUUAGUAAGUUCUUAUUCACUCAAAGUUCUAAAUCACUUUGAUACCAAAAGGGAAAAACUUUGGGCACAGUAAGUAAUUUAAAUCUUAAAAAAUGCCGUGUCAACACUAACUAGAGAAGCUGCAGGCAGAAGCAGACUUCAAUAAAUUACUUCAAUUGAAAUUCUAGAGCAAACCAUGCUAGCUCUAGAGCCACCACAGACACUGUUGAGGCUCAACAUCCAGCACAUACUAAUUUGUACAUUAAAUGGAAAUUCUUCUUCCUUUUCAAUUGAAUUAAGAAUUUGACAUUGAGAAAGAACUCUUGCCAUCAUAAUAAAUAUGUCAAAUGAAACUAAAGCAACGUAUUUAACUCUCUAAAAGAACACCAAUCAAACAAUAAUGCAUAAUCUUGACAAAGAAUAAGAAGCCAUCCACAUUACCAAAACACUAAUUAAUUACCUCUCAUUAACCAUCAUAAAAAAAUGAAAUAAAAUAAAUAUACGGACACAAAAGAAGAUUGAAGAGCCUGUACAAAUGCAUCAGAUCUGAUGAUUCUUAUUUUGACAGCAUCAUCAUUCUCCAGAAAGGAGUGGCUGAUUGUUGGUCUUGUUUAUCAUCACUUGCAAUAUAAGCUCUAACAAAUUGAAAAAAAAAAAAUUCAAUUCUUUAACUAUCCCAAACUUGCUAGGGGGGAGAAA